AGAUGCACAGAGAUGGUGGAGUGCUGUGCUGGAGGAAGGAGGGCACAAGCGACAUAACAGGCAGGAGGGAGAAAAUUGCUCAAUAGAAAAU